GCUACAGACAGAUGGCAGCAGUGGUGUCCUGCAUGAGAAAACAGAGACCCGAAGGACUGAAUGAAACAACAAAAAGACUCUCCUGCAAAUCCACAAGGCGUCUCUCGUCUCCUGUAGCUCCAUAAUGACUUCCUUUCGGUCCGGGAGUGAGGUGGAUCGUCUCUACCCGUCCUUCCCCGAGAUUCUCUGUGGUUUGGCUGCUCAUUGUCUGUCUGUCUGAUGGCUGCUCCUCUUCCUCCUCGCUGUCAUCCUCCUCCAGAGUUUCACCACUGGAGAAGUGGAUGAUCCUCCUCUGUUUGGACACGGCGGGACUCUCAGACUCUGUCUCCUGGAUGUCCAGUGGCGUCUGACAGAUUGCAGAGUUCUUUGCAUAAACUUUGGUUUAUAUUCUGUUUCGUGUCCAGAGACAUUGUCUUCACGGCACAGUAUCUAUGUCCAACAUGUUGCCAUCUUAUAGGCUGUUUUAUAUACAGGCUACAUCAGGCUCCAGAGUAAAGUUUUACCAACGACUAGUCGCAAACAGCUGUUAAAAGUUAACUUACACCUUUGCCAGAGUGUUACUGAACACAGCCUAAGCUAACAUCUCUGUUUGUCUUGCCUCAUUAUUACAACACUUACUUCCUGGUGGCCGCUGUUCAUUGUGAUACUAGUCUCUCUUUGUCACUCCAAUGCAACAGCGUCGAUUCUUUCUCAUGUCACGGCUGUGCUUUCUGUCCAUCCACGCUGACUCUGCUACGUAGAGAAAGACAACUACAGGAUGCAGGAUCAGUCCUGAAACCUGAGACAGACAAAUAAAGCAGUGUGAGUAGUCACAGAGCUGUCACCGUAAUGCAAUCAGUUUCAUUCUUGGGCUCGAGGGGCUGGGCUUGUCACAGUGUGGAGAACGUCAUGGGUUAUUGCCAACUUUAGCCACUUGCACCUUAAUCUUUCCAGUAUUCUCCUUAUAUUUGUCCCUUAGGUGGCCAGAAAGUCAGAUAAAGCAUUUGUUACACCCUGAUAUCACCUCCACAUAUUGAAUAUCUGCUUGUUGUAGCACGUCUCUUCAGACUAGAGCGAAACAUUCAAAUCCAGGAGACCACUUUCUCUAGAUGUUUCCCUGGAACUUAGCCUGGCAUAUUCAGUGCUUUUUUUGACUAAAAUGUAAAAUGUAUGUAAAUGAGGCGUCAGAUAAUGGCGAAGCAGAGCCCAGCCAUGUCAGACGAGUGCCGCAUAUAACAUGGAGCAUAAUUUUUGCAAUCAUGCUCACGUUUUGUCAUCAUGUCCAAAGUUUAGUCUCUUAGAUAAAUGUGGUCAGUGCUCUUAAACAACUGUUCCGUCAUAUUUCUAGCGAUCCUAGUUUAUGCAACCCUUCUAGAUUUCUAGGUUUUCUUUGUAUCUAGUUGCUUAUUACAAAAAUAGAUACAUACACAUUUAAACAUGUAGGCUAGAAACUGGAAGGAUAAAAACAUGUUAAAAUUUCAAAUUGUACUGCACAGUGUGAAACGACGAAAUUAAAAUGAAAGUUAAAAAACAUUUUUAUUUAAAUUCAUUUUCUUUGUCAGGGUUUGACAACGCUCAAGCACACGUUUGGACCAAAUGUUUAAAGUGGUACUCCAGAUAGAGAUAAUGCCACUCAUUGUACAGCAUCUUUCUCAAACGAGAUCAUGCUCAGUAAAGAGUCGUUUUUCUAAGUCUGCUCCCGAUUCUCUUCAACAUAGCUCAAUUUUCAGCUGAAUCGUGGGAAUCGUGGUUGGGGAAAAAAUGCAUCAGAUCUCAAGAAAGACUUUUUUUUCUUGUCAAGUUUAAUUAGCAAUAUGAUUCAAAAGUUGCAGAUUGAUUGGCAUAUACACUUUCAUCACUGGUUAAGUGUGUUGAUUUCAUUGACUACUAAGAGUUUAUUAAGAUGAGCCGUCCGUGGCAAACACUGCAUAGACUUGGGUCACGCUGCAUAUCUUUGAAAUGCAGGCUUUCUGUCUGCAAGCUCAAGCCGAGAUAACACUGAUUACAUCAGCAACAACAGCUUCAGACAAUAUGCAAGUUUUCACAGGCUAACAAGUGCUAACCAUGACCUGUAAGACUUACCUUUACUGAGUACCCAUUAAACAUACUGAUAGGAUUAUUCUUACGCUAACUCAGUAAUCAUGUUGACAUAUAUGAGCACAAGAUGUGGAAGAAUGGAGUUUUAUGGAUGAUUUAAUAGAGUUUGAAAUACAUUUUACAUGAAGGACACCAUUAGAGGAGGAUAAUGAGCAACAGGAGUGUACACUGUAAUGGUGAUCUGACACACCCUUUUAAUAAACAGUUGCCUUGAAAAGAAUAAAGGACUAGCAUUGAUCUGUGAAUGCAAUGUUAAACUGGCUGUUCCGGGUAUAAUGCAGAACAGACAAAUGCCAUGAGCAUUAUGAUUCCAUUAGACCCCCACUGAAAGCCCUGCACAACUGAGUAUAAAGUGCAAAGGUGUUGUGCUAUAAUGGAAUUUAGUCAGAAAGUUAGCUUGUCAGCCUUUCACUGCUGCCGGGGUCUUGCUCAGGUACGCUAAUAUACCUGUGGGGGCAUAAAUGAGUACAUGUGAGCACUAGAUUACAGUUUAUACAAGUUUCCAGCUUUAACCGACAUUUAUUUUCAAAGUGGGAAAGUUUUGAUAAUAUGAGCAAGUUCUGUGAAGCAGCCAGAGCUCCCACCCCCGGUGUCUGAUGAUGCUCCCGCCUGGUCUUUGUCUCUAAGGAAGGGGAUAACACUUAAUAGAUCUACAGUACAUACAUUGUGUCAACUAUAGACAGCAGCACUCACUCAGCAACUGAGAAGUUUACAAGGGUAAGCCUUUUACUGUAUGUAUCAGAGGGGAUUCUGUUGUAUCCACUGAAGCAUAAAAAUGAAAAUCAA